UUCAAGCUAAGGUCAAACUUUACAAGGGGGAGCCAUAGUUAGGGUUUCAAGCUUCCAAGCUCCAUAAUCAAGAAGAACGUGGAAUCAAUCUCAAUCGGGGAAAGGAAAAGAUCGUAGACUAAACUGCAAAAUAACUAUAUUUUGCACCGAGAUAAGUUUUGUUACCAGUUCAGCUCGGAAUUUGGAAAUAGUCGGGAACUCAUCUACGCUAUCCACAACUUUUGGUAUUUUGUAAUCAAUAUUUCUAAAUUAUGGCAUAUAUAGAAGACUUGAUUUUGAUGUUAUAUGUUACAAAGUAUUCAGCCUAAAUGUUAGUAUAUGUUAUUUGAUAAAUUAUU